rnacentral:rRNA from 1 species
AUACGGGGGGUGCAAGCGUUAUUCGGAUUUAUUGGACGUAAAGAGCGCGUAGGCGGCUUGGUAAGUCAGAUGUGAGAGCCCGGGGCUCAACCCCGGAAGUGCAUUUGAAACUAUCAGGCUUGAGUAUGGGAGAGGGAAGUGGAAUUCCUGGUGUAGAGGUGAAAUUCGUAGAUAUCAGGAGGAACACCGGUGGCGAAGGCGACUUCCUGGACCAAUACUGACGCUGAGGCGCGAAGGCGUGGGGAGCAAACAGGAUUAGAAACCCCGGUAGUCC